AUGGGGGAGGUGGUGGCCACCAUGGCGAUCCGGCCACUGGUGUCCAUGCUGAUGAACAAGGCAUCCAACUACCUUCUGAACAAAUACAAGGUGAUGGAGGGAAUGGAGGAGGAGCACAGGACUCUCGAGCGCAAGCUUCCGGCCAUCCUUGACGUCAUCACCGAUGCCGAGGAGCAGGCGACGGCCCACAGAGAAGGUGCGAAAGCUUGGCUCCAGGAGCUCAAGAGAGUGGCCCAUGCGGCAAAUGAAGUCUUCGAUGAAUUCAAGUAUGAAGCACUCCGCCGCGAAGCCAAGAAGAAGGGGCACUACAGCAAGCUUGGAUUUGAUGUAAUAAAACUCUUCCCUACUCACAACCGUAUUGCGUUCCGAUACAAAAUGGGUCGCAAGCUUUGCCGGAUUCUCCAGGCCAUUGAGGUCCUCAUAGCAGAUAUGCAGGCCUUUGGGUUCAAGUACCAAUCAGAGCAGCCGGUGUCCAAGGAUUGGCGGCACACAGAUUAUGUCAUCAUCGCCCCACAAGAAAUUGCCAAUAGAUCCAGAGGCAAAGAUAAGAAAAAGAUUGUUGAUACACUACUUGGUCAAGCUGGCAAUGCAGAUCUCGCAGUAGUUCCCAUCGUUGGAAUGGGGGGCCUUGGCAAGACCACAUUAGCGCAGCUCAUAUACAAUGAACCUAAAGUUCAGAAGCAUUUUCAGUUGCUGCUCUGGGUAUGUGUCUCUGAUACCUUUGAUGUGAACUCCUUAGCCAAGAGUAUAGUUGAAGCAUCUCCCGGGAAAAAUGAUGAUAUAGCCAAACCACCAUUGGAUAGACUUCAGAAAUUGGUCAGAGGGCAGAGGUAUCUCCUUGUAUUGGAUGAUGUAUGGAACAGAGAGGUUGAUAAGUGGGAAAGGCUGAAGGUCUGUCUUCAAUGUGGUGGCACCGGUAGUGCAGUGUUGACAACAACACGUGAUAAUCAAGUUGCUGAAAUUAUGGGUGCAGAUAGAGCCUACCAUCUCAGUGAUUUGGAUGAUAGCUUUUUAAAGGAAAUUAUUGACUCUAGAGCAUUCAGUCCAGAGAAAGAAAAGCCUGCCGUGCUAGUCAAGAUGGUUGGCGAGAUUGUGAAGAGAUGUUGUGGCUCUCCUUUAGCUGCAAUUGCACUAGGUUCUGUACUUCGCACCAAGACCACUGUGAAAGAAUGGAAGGCUAUAUCAUCUAGAAGCAGCAUCUGCACUGACGAAACUGGAAUCUUACCAAUACUCAAGCUUAGCUACAAUGACUUGCCAUCACAUAUGAAGCAGUGCUUUGCUUUUUGUGCUGUAUUUCCCAAGGAUUACAAGAUUGAUGUGGAGAAGCUGAUCCAACUAUGGAUCGCACAUGGAUUUAUCCCAGAACACAGGGAAGAUAGUCCUGAAACCGUUGGAAAACAUAUUUUCAAUGAGCUGGCCUCAAGGUCAUUCUUUCUGGACAUAGAGGAACUUGAAUAUGUAGAUGCCAGGGAGUAUUUUUCCAUAACGACAUGUAAAAUCCAUGAUCUUAUGCAUGAUAUUGCAAUGUCUAUUAUGGACAAGGAAUGUGUUGUUGCAACUAAGGAAUCAAGUCAAAUCAAGUGGCUUCCAGAUACUACUCGGCAUUUAUUUUUGUCAUGUGAACAAACAGAAGGUAUGUUGAAUGAUGCUAUGGAGAGGGGAUCCCUUGCUAUCCGAACACUGCUAUGUGAUAAUCCUGUUUGGAGCUCACUGCAACAUCUAUCAAAGUACAGAUCUUUGCAUGCACUGAAGCUCUGUAUAAAGACAAUACCAUUUCUACUGAAACCAAAGUAUCUUCAUCACCUGAGGUACCUUGAUCUCUCAGAAAGUUAUAUUAAAGCACUUCUUCAAAAUAUGAGUAUUCUAUAUAGCUUGCAAACAUUGGACCUAUCCAAAUGCAUUUAUCUUGAUCGACUUCCAAAGCAAAUGAAGUAUAUGACUUCCCUCCGUCACCUCUAUACUCAUGGAUGUCCGGAGUUGGAGAGUAUGCCCCCAGAACUAGGAAAACUCACAAACCUUCAGACAUUGACAUGUUUUGUAGCAGCAGUUACUGGACCUGAUUGCAGUGAUGUAGCAGAGCUGCAACAUUUAAACCUUGGCGGUCAGCUAGAGCUAUGUCAGAUAGAGAAUGUUACGGAAGCAGAGCCAAAAGUGGCAAAUCUAGGAAACAAGAAGGAGCUCAGUGAACUAACAUUAAGAUGGACUUUUGUUUGCGAUAGCAAGGUGCUCGACAAUUUCGAACCUCAUGAUGGGCUGCAGGUUCUGAAGAUAUAUUACUAUGGUGGAGAGUGCAUUGGUAUGAUGCAAAACAUGGUUGAGAUACAACUUUUUCACUGUGAAAGAUUGCAAUUUUUGUUCAGAAGUGGUGCAUCCUUCACUUUUCCAAAACUGAAGGUGCUUACGCUAGAACAUCUGUUGAAGUUUGAGAGAUGGUGGGAAAUAAAUGCGAGGCAAGAUCAGAUAGGAUUUCCUCUGCUUGAGAAGUUGUUUAUUAAGUAUUGUGGAAUGCUGACAGCAUUGCCGAAAGCACCACUGCUUCGAGAACCGUGUGGUGGAAGUUAUAGGUUGGUGCGCUCACCGUUUCCUGCCCUAAAGGUACUAGAAUUGGAAGACUUGAAGAGCUUCCAGAGAUGGGAUGUUGCUGCUGAAGGAGGACGGGUAUUGUUUACUCAGCUUGAGAAACUGUCAAUUAAGAACUGCCCAAAGCUAAUGGAUUUACCUCGAGCACCAUUGCUUCAAGAACUCGAAUUGAAAUACUUGGCGAGCUUUCAGAGAUGGGAUGCUGUAGUCGAAGAAGAACAAAUAUUAUUUCCUCUUCUGGAGAAGCUAUCAACUGAAUUUCCAAAGGUGACGGAAUUAACUGAAGCACCGUACCUGCAAGAGCUCAAAUUGAAAUACUUGGAGAGCUUACAGAGGCAGGAAGCUGUAGUUGAAGAGCAAAUAUUGUUUCCACUUCUGCAGAAGCUAUCAAUUCAGAAAUGCCCAAGGCUGAUAGAUUUACCUGAAGCACCAAAACUCAUUUCAUUAGAAAUUCAAGAUGGCAAGCAAGAGAUCUUCCAUUUUGUAGGUAGAUAUUUGUCUUCGCUGACCAAACUGAUACUGAAGCUAGAAAAUACAGAAACAACAUCAGAGGCUGAGUGCGUUUCAAUUGUACCGAUGGACAACAAGGAGAAAUGGAACCAGAAAUCCCCACUUACAGUUAUGAAGUUAAGAUGCUGCAACUCAUUCUUUGGAGCAGGUGCACCAGAGCCAUGGGAUUAUUUUGGACAUCUUGAAGCUUUGGCAAUUGAUAGCUGUGAUGUGCUCGUCCACUGGCCAGACAAAGUAUUCCAAAGCUUGGUAGCCUUGAGGAGAUUAUCGAUUAGAAACUGCAAGAAUCUGACUGGAUGCGCACAAGCUCCUCCUGACCCAGAAUCUAGCCUGCACCUGCCUGCAUCAGCAACCGAAAGGAGCCAACACCUGCCUGGUCUGGAGUCUAUUGAGUUAAUUAAUUGUGCAAGUUUGAUAGAGAUGUUCAACGUCCCAGAAUCUCUCAAGGAAAUGCAUAUUUUUGGUUGCCAUGAGCUCAAGUCCAUAUUCGGCAAGCAGCAGGGCAUGUCACAGUUAGUUCAAGGGCUAUCUUGCAGCGAGGUAACCGUGCCCACGGUUGUAUCUGAGUUGUCAUCAUCAUCCAUGAAUCACUUCUUUCCAUGCCUAGAAUAUCUACAGUUAUCUGGAUGUGAUAGUUUAUCAGCGGUUCUAGAUCUUCCAGCGUCAUUAAAGACCAUAUCUAUUGGUGCCUGCAGGAAUAUUCAAGUUCUAUCAUGUCAGCUGAAUGGGCUUCAGAAACCACAAGUCACUACUUCCAUAAAUAUACCAGAGCCAUCAACAGCAGUAGCAAGAGAGCAUUCCCUUCCUCCUUGUCUCGAGUCUCUACACAUAUGCUGCUUCAGUGGCAUGUUUGGGGGGAUUCUCCAUCUGCCGAAUUCCCUCAAGACACUGAAAAUUUCUGGCAGUAGUUUGACAUCACUGGAGUUUCUGUCGGGAGAGCACCCCACAGCGUUGGAAUCCCUUGUAAUUGAUAGCUGCAGUACCCUGGCAUCCCUACCGAAUGAUCCGCAAGCAUACAGGUCGCUUCAACGGCUUGAAAUUACAUGCUGCCCUGCUAUAAAGAAGCUUCCUACAUGCCUGCAGCAGCAACUGGGUAGCAUUGGCUUCUACAAACGGCUGGAUGCCCAUUAUGAAGUAACGGCAUUUAAACCAAAGACUUGGAAGGAAAUACCAAGACUAGUCCAUGAGCGGAGGCAGGCUCGUCGCAGCUGA
rnacentral:rRNA from 1 species